rnacentral:rRNA from 1 species
AUUGAACGCUGGCGGAAUGCUUUACACAUGCAAGUCGAACGGCAGCACGGACUUCGGUCUGGUGGCGAGUGGCGAACGGGUGAGUAAUGUAUCGGAACGUGCCCAGUCGUGGGGGAUAACGUAGUGAAAAUUACGCUAAUACCGCAUACGAUCUAUGGAUGAAGGCGGGGGAUCGCAAGACCUCGCGCGAUUGGAGCGGCCGAUAUCAGAUUAGGUAGUUGGUGGGGUAAAGGCCCACCAAGCCAACGAUCUGUAGCUGGUCUGAGAGGCCGACCAGCCACACUGGAACUGAGACACGGUCCAGACUCCUACGGGAGGCAGCAGUGGGGAAUUUUGGACAAUGGGCGAAAGCCUGAGCCAGCCAUUCCGCGUGCAGGAUGAAGGCCCUCGGGUUGUAAACUGCUUUUGUACAGAACGAAAAGGUUUCUACUAAUACUAGGAACUCAUGACGGUACUGUAAGAAUAAGCACCGGCUAACUACGUGCCAGCCGCCGCGGUAA